rnacentral:lncRNA from 1 species
GAAGAACUGCAAUCCAGUGACUAAGCAGCUAUGACAGAAUGUGUGUAUUUUGGGACGUGUUUCUACAUAUCAACAGCAAGGCAAGAGGAAUCCAGGGCCCGUUAGUCAUCACUUCCUGGGUAACAGCUCAUGGCAAAGCUCAAAGACUCCGGGGAAAUAGCCAGGAGAGGCAGCACAGCAAGUCUGGGACAGGUGGCUUUGAUGGCAGGAAACAUAGAUUGGAUGGCUCUGCUCAGCAACUCUUUCUUUAUUGUAACAUGGGCUCAAAACUUGGGAGAAAGAAAACUGUAUCCGAAGAUCCGGGAGCCAGCGUGCACUGAUCCGUGCCCCUUGGGGUGUGUGCCAAGUGCGGGGCGCACAGAGACUCGCUCAAGCUCAGGC